rnacentral:rRNA from 1 species
UACGUAGGGUGCAAGCGUUGUCCGGAAUUAUUGGGCGUAAAGAGCUUGUAGGCGGUUUGUUGCGUCUGCUGUGAAAUUUCGGGGCUCAACCCCGAACUUGCAGUGGGUACGGGCAGACUAGAGUGUGGUAGGGGAGACUGGAAUUCCUGGUGUAGCGGUGAAAUGCGCAGAUAUCAGGAGGAACACCGGUGGCGAAGGCGGGUCUCUGGACAGUUCCUGACGCUGAGGCACGAAGGUCAGGGGAGCAAACGGG